AACUGAUACUACCUGCGGGAACCUGCGGAGGGAUCAUUACCGAGUUUACAACUCCCAAACCCCAUGUGAACAUACCUGUUUCGUUCCCUCGGCGGUGUCCGGCAACGGCCCGCCAGAGGACCCAACAAACUCUUUUGAAUUUUUCAGUAUCUUCUGAGUGAAAAAAACAAUAAAUCAAAACUUUUAACAAUGGAUCUCU
rnacentral:misc_RNA from 1 species